rnacentral:tRNA from 1 species
CAAAGCGUAGCUUAUAUAAAGCAUCCGGCCUACACCCUGAAGAUUCCACUGCCAUGGACGCCUUGA